UGGGGAAUAUUGCACAAUGGGCGCAAGCCUGAUGCAGCCAUGCCGCGUGUGUGAAGAAGGCCUUCGGGUUGUAAAGCACUUUCAGCGAGGAGGGAGGUGGUGAGCUUAAUACGCUCAUCAAUUGACGUUACUCGCAGAAGAAGCACCGGCUAACUCCGUGCCAGCAGCCGCGGUAAUACGGAGGGUGCAAGCGUUAAUCGGAAUUACUGGGCGUAAAGCGCACGCAGGCGGUUUGUUAAGUCAGAUGUGAAAUCCCCGGGCUCAACCUGGGAACUGCAUUUGAAACUGGCAAGCUAGAGUCUCGUAGAGGGGGGUAGAAAUUCCAGGUGUAGCGGUGAAAUGCGUAGAGAUCUGGAGGAAUACCGGUGGCGAAGGCGGCCCCCUGGACGAAGACUGACGCUCAGGUGCGAAAGCGUGGGGCAGCAAACAGGAUUAGAUACCCUGGUAGUCCACGCUGUAAACGAUGUCGAUUUUGGAGGUUGUGCCCUUGAGGCGUGGCUUCCGGAGCUAACGCGUUAAAUCGACCGCCUGGGGAGUACGGCCGCAAGGUUAAAACUCAAAUGAAUU
rnacentral:rRNA from 1 species